GACUCAGUGGCCGAGUGGAUAACGCGAUUGCUUUUGAAGCAAAAGGUACUGGGUUCGAGUCCCGGGUGAGCA
rnacentral:tRNA from 1 species